rnacentral:rRNA from 1 species
CCAAUAGCGUAUAUUAAAGUUGUUGCAGUUAAAAAGCUCGUAGUUGAAUUUCGGGAUCAGUACGUUGGUCGUGCCUUGGUACGUACUAAUGUAACUGAUUCCUCCCUUCUGACGAACCGUCAUGCCAUUCACUUGGUGUGGCGGGAAAUCAGGACUGUUACUUUGAAAAAAUUAGAGUGUUUAAAGCAGGCUCGCGCUUGAAUACAUUAGCAUGGAAUAAUGAAAUAGGACGUUAAUCCUAUUUUGUUGGUUUCUAGGAUCGACGUAAUGAUUAAUAGGGAUAGUUGGGGGCAUUAGUAUUUAAUUGUCAGAGGUGAAAUUCUUGGAUUUAUUGAAGACUAACUACUGCGAAAGCAUUUGCCAAGGAUGUUUUCAUUAAUCAAGAACGAAAGUUAGGGGAUCGAAGACGAUCAGAUACCGUCGUAGUCUUAACCAUAAACUAUGCCGACUAGGGAUCGGAUGAUGUUAAUUUUUUAAUGACUCAUUCGGCGCCUUACG